CUUUUGAUGGCGACCGGCGCACGGGUGAGUAACACGUAUCCAACCUGCCUCAUACUCGAGGAUAGCCUUUCGAAAGAAAGAUUAAUACCCGAUGUUAUAGUCCUACCGCAUGAUGGGAUUAUUAAAGAAUUUCGGUAUGGGAUGGGGAUGCGUUCCAUUAGUUAGUUGGCGGGGUAACGGCCCACCAAGACAACGAUGGAUAGGGGUUCUGAGAGGAAGGUCCCCCACAUUGGAACUGAGACACGGUCCAAACUCCUACGGAAGGCAGCAG
rnacentral:rRNA from 1 species